AACGAGCAGCAGAGCCGCCCAGCAGCAACCACAUUAGGAAGGAAUCGGAAACCAACGCUCCGCUGGCUGUCACCCCUUACCCACUUGCUGUCAGGUGUCCAAACAGUGUCAUCCGGUGUCCUGACAUGCGGCCCCAAUGGACUGAUCCAGGGUGGAAAGGAAGAGUGAGAAGAAAUCAGACAGAAGAAUUCAGGAGAUGUGGCAACAGAGUGGAUGUAGCAGAAGGGACAUAGAGAGUGCCUAAAGAUGAGUCUUUGGUCAGCAUGUGAUGAAAAGAAUGAAGACACUGGGGAAGUGGGGAGCAGAAGCGGAUGUGGGCCCAGGAGGAAGAAGAUUCCAGAGAGCAGAGAUGGCAAAAAGAUGCAUGGAAGAGAGACACAGCAGGGUCGGGUUCUGGCCUCAGGAGCCAAGGGGGAAGUGCCUGAGGAGACCCCCAAAUGAGGCCUGUGUCAAUGAGGUCUUUAGGGGACUGGUUUCCAUGUAUGCCAGGCCAUACUCCCUGGAUUCCCAGCAUUGAGAAGACCAAACACUUCUACACAUUUAUUACUGAAGCCCCCUGCAAGCUGAAGGCGGAGGAAGUGGCCAAUCUCCUAAGCCGUGUGUGGCUGAGGCAGUUGUCAGAGCUGUGAUGAGGGAAAUGCUCAUUAUUCUUCUAUCCCUCACUUGGCCAAAUAAAGAACUUCUUAGAAUUCUUCCCCUGUGACAAAACGGGGCUGUGAUUUGGAAAGCCUCAGGCAAGUUUGCUAGGGCCGCGGUAACCAAGCACCACAGACUGGGUGGCUUCAAAACUGGACGGCUUCAACAGAAAGUUAUUGUUGCUCAGUUCUGGAAGCCAGAAGUCCAAAAUCAAGGUACUUGCAGGGUCAGUUCGAUCUGAGGGCUGCGAGGGAAGGAUCUGUUGUAGACCUCUCUCCUAGGUUUGCAGGCAUUGGUCCUGAUGUUCACAGGGCAUCCUUCCUGUGCCUUCACAUCAUCUUCUCUCUGAAUGUAUCUCUGGGUCCAAAUUUCCCUAUUUUAAAAUAAGGAAAUCAGUCCUAUUGGGUUAGCACCCCGCCCCUCACUUUAACUUGAUUACCUCUGUAAAGACCCUACCUCCAAAUAAGAUCACAUUCUGCGUACUGAGGGCUAGGACCUCAACAUCUGAAUUCAGGGUGGGUGGAUGCACAAUUCAUUCCAUAACAUUAAGAAGGAAGGGAUAAGUGCCCAAGGAAUCACAUGCUCGCUUGGGGAGAGUUCCAAGCGUGCAGAGCUGGUGGUCAUAGCCUAGCCUCAGGCCUUCGGAAAUCCCCUGAAUCUGGUUUUCCCAGUUCUCAUAAUCUCAUUUCACCAAAAUACGGCAUCUCAAUACAUUCCAUGCAUUUCUGGUGACAAGCUCAUUCUGGUGCACGCUAAGCAAUGUGCUAACUACGUCUUAACUAGGGUGGUUUAACUGGUUUGGUUAACAUAGAUCUCUGAGUCAUUUCACGCAUUCCUUAAGCCUAAACAAAUCUCAUCCAGGUGUUUAAGACAUUGCACAAUAUUAGACCAUCUGAAGCUCCAUCUCCUUGGGGCAAUGAUGAUGAUGGUGAUGAAAGUGGCUGGUGACUGUUCUCAGUCUCAUCGCCAUAAUGGAACCCUACGUUGUGUUCCUCCACACUGGUGUGAGGGACACUACUAAGUGCGGCAGAGUUUGCACUCAGGAUAGAGAAAUAUGGACUCACGCACAGAUUCCAGCUGAGUCCCUCCGAUGUGCUAGGUACUAUGUCCAGCCCCCCAGGAUUCACCUGUAAGCAGGACAGUCUUUUGGAUGACAGAGGGAAUUCUCAUAUAUCCACAGGCAGAUGGAAUUUACAAGUGGAAAGACCUAGAAGUUCAGAGACAGGGGGACUGAACUUUUUGCUUUCAGUCAGAAUCUUUGCUUACGGUUGUGCAAAUGCUUGCAUUGGUGGGUUUCCAUGCCAUAUAACGUGCUACAUAUUUUUACGUUACCCUUGCACAUAAGCAUACUGUUGGGAGGGAAAAUGAAGAGGGUGGAGGUGGUAACAAACUCAAGCUAAGGAAAUGGAAUUUGGAUGGGUACAAAGUCCAGAGAAUUAGCUUGAGGAAAAUGAACCAGGAUUCACACAGGAGUUUUCAAACAUCUCAAUAUCAGGACCCCUUUACCCUCUUAAAACUUACUUCGUGAGGACCUUAAAGAGCUUUUGUUUGUGUGACUUAUAUGUAUUAAUAUUUACUAUAUUAGAAAUUAAAAGUAAGGAAUGGUUGU
rnacentral:lncRNA from 1 species